CCUACGGGUGGCUGCAGUGGGGAAUAUUGGACAAUGGGCGAAAGCCUGAUCCAGCCAUGCCGCGUGUGUGCAGAAGGCCUUCGGGUUGUAAAGCACUUUCAGUGGGGAAGAAAGCCUUGGGGCUAAUACCCUCGAGGAAGGACAUCACCCACAGAAGAAGCACCGGCUAACUCCGUGCCAGCAGCCGCGGUAAUACGGAGGGUGCGAGCGUUAAUCGGAAUUACUGGGCGUAAAGCGCGCGUAGGCGGUCUGAUAAGCCGGUUGUGAAAGCCCCGGGCUCAACCUGGGAACGGCAUCCGGAACUGUCAGGCUAGAGUGCAGGAGAGGAAGGUAGAAUUCCCGGUGUAGCGGUGAAAUGCGUAGAGAUCGGGAGGAAUACCAGUGGCGAAGGCGGCCUUCUGGACUGACACUGACGCGGAGGUGCGAAAGCGUGGGUAGCAAACAGGAUUAGAGACCCGUGUAGUC
rnacentral:rRNA from 1 species